AAGUCGUAACAAGGUUUCCGUAGGUGAACCUGCGGAAGGAUCAUUAGUGAAUAUUAGCGCAUCUCUUCGGAGAGCGUGACCUCCACUUUAUAACUCUGUGCAUUUAUUGGCGGAAACUGUACUUUGAGACUUUAUGUCUCUCUUGCAGCUCUGCGGCUCAUUUUAAACACUAGUAAAAGUAUGUAACGAAAUAUCGAAACAAAAAAAAACUUUCAACAACGGAUCUCUUGGCUU
rnacentral:misc_RNA from 1 species